AACACAGUUCAAACUUUUAUUUGGCAACAAGUUUGAUCUUAGAACAUCAAAUCAACAUUGGGAAUAAAUAGCAAAUUCACAUUCAGAAUAAAUAGUAGGUCUGCGUACCCCUGCACGAUCGGCCUGAUGCCACAGGGCGCAACCUGUCGCUCUGCUAAACUGUGGGGCCAGAGUAGAGGCGCGGGAGCAAGGUGGGUCCUGGAAGCCGCCAGACAGUGCAGGGUGUGCGCCCAGGACCAGGAUGGGGGCACUUGGGAUGGACGCCUAGGGAGGGGGAGGGGAAGAGGAGAAGGGGCGGGAAGGAGGGGCUGGGGAGAGAAGCAGGCAGGGCUGGAGCAGGUGCUCCCAGAGGAAGAGGCAUGACUUUGUCCGAGUGGGGGAUGCUCCAGGGCGUCCUAAGGUCCCCAAGGCUGUUCCAGGCAGCGCACAGCCAGCACCAUGUGUGGCACAGUCAUGGGCAGAGCACUCAGCCAGGCCCCUCACUACACCCGGUGGUCUGCCUCGUGCGGGGAACACUGGCCAGAGUCCAUGUACCUGGAAGCCGCUUGUAGGGGUACAGCAAGCUCUCUACCUGUGUGCAGGCCCUCGUCUGCAGGCCCGAGGUGCGGGGAUCGUUGCCGCCAACACAAAGCACCGGGGGGGGGGGGGGGGGGGGGGGGGGGAGGGCAACCAUCGGGGGCGCCCAACCCAGGCCGCAGCCCCAAGGCGGGGAAGGGGGUGGCAGGGAGCAGAGUUGACCACCAGCCCUUCCUCGCUGAACCCAACCCUGCGGGGCAAGCCUAUCCCCUCCCUCCGAGGUCCACCGGCAGUUAAAGGCUGACUGAGCCCGAGGCCAAGCUCCCAGGUGCUAGUGCAGGCAAGGACAUGAGGAAGAAAACACACCCUCACACAAGGAAAUGAGUCUUAGGGGGCAGAACACAGGCUCCCUAGUGGGCUGAAUAGAACAAUCGAGGAACCUGCCUCCAGCCACACGUAGUCUUAGAAGAUUCUGGACAAGGGCCCCAAGGGGGUGUUUGGCAGCAAACGAGCCUCGGGCCCAGGGAACCAACUCCAGGAUUCAGCAGACUCUAUGGCUUCUGGGGCCUCAGGGGGCAAGAAAGGAAAAGCCGUUUAGUUCACCCAAAGCUAAAUUAGUGAGGGGGGAAGAACACAUCUCAUUUCUCCUCUGCAAUAAUUAACAGGGUCAAUGCAUUCAAAGCAACUAGUAACUCAGCGUGAAAUGUGCCCACACCAGGAUCAGAGCAUCUGUGGCAUUAGUGCUGGUGGCAGAAAAUGGGGCUGAGGACAAGUCUUACAAUUUAAAAAAAAAAAAAAAAAAUGGCUAUGUCAGGAGAAAGGAGGACAUUCUAAACCAAACCCCUAAAAUAUUUUAAAAGGCAAGUUUUGUCUAUAAAAGCCACGGCAAACCAGCUGUGCGGGACCCCUCUGAGGCAAUCCGCGGGCCUGGGGCCUCCCCGCUGUCCCCUCCCCGCCAUCCCCACCCACGCGAGAAGCAGAAGCUGCUUUUCAGUGUACCAACCAACUCUAUUCUGUUCACGUUCCCAGCUGACUGUUCACAUGCUACAAAACACACUCCCUCCCAGGGCGCACCAUGAGACCAGGUGCCCGAGCCUGGCCGAGCCACAAUCUCUCCCGACCAAGCAGUGGCAGGAAGAAUGCCUCUGUCCAUCCUUGAGUGGCCACCAGCCACAGGCUCCGGGCCCCUGGGGACAGGUGCCAGGCCCUGUGAGCCCAGCACGCCGUGUCCAGUGGCCCAGAGCUGAAGUCUUGGCUGACACGAUGUCAUAAGAGACAUUCCUCAUUCCAGGAAAACCUGCUUCUCCCCCAACUAAAGCCUGCCUCACCUAGGCUACCCACCCGCAAAGGCAGCUUUAAACCAGCGCUGCUUCCCGUUGGGUCAACCAGACACUGCUACCAGCACCUAGGACAACCAGUACCUAGGACACGUCCGUGACGGACUGAUUGAUUAGAACUGGUGGAGGGAGAGGAAAACAUUCUUUAUUUACCUCGUUGCUCGGCGUCUCCAAGCACGAACCCCAAAGCCAAAAGCAGCAGUGUGUCUGCUGAGGGCCCCACCACUGGGCGCUUCUGGGACCCACCUGCACUGUGGUCACCAGGCUCCGACAACCCCUGCUGCUCACCACGCCUGGGCGCUAACACCCAGCAGACAGCGCUGCCCCUUGCUGCCCCAUCCUAGGAAAACCGGCCUCUGUGCUCAUAACCAAAUUCAUUAGUAAAAUAAAAGGGCGGAAGGACCUACGGGAUCUAAAGGGCAGAUGAGCAGCAGCGUGCAGGGGGCCGCAACUCGCUUCUGAGUUUCCCUGUCGCAGCCAGUCUACGGGGUGCCAAGCUGUCAUGGGCAGCCGGUUCCCAUCCACUCAUCACAGCAAAAGCCGGACAAGGCCCGCACUGCACGGCCCCUCCACAGACCUGCCACUGGGAAUAAGCGCGGGCACUGGCGCUGCCCCCAGAAUACAAGGGACGCUUGAUUCCUGCUCAUUCCGCAAGGCCGUUCCUAGGUGUCCCCUCCCGCCCUACACCCCAGGAACACCACCCCACUCGCAGGCAGCCCCACACACACAGCAGGGGCGGGGUCUGGGGUGCCGGGCCACCUCCUCUGCCCCCGCUGGAGCCUGCGCGUCAAGUGCCCAACACGGCCCCGCAGGGUGACAGCGCAGCCCUCCCCGACCCCGACACUUCGGUCUCCAGCUCGGUCUUCUGUCCCGCCGCGGGCGAAGAAACACCACCUGGGUGGGCUUUUCCAGGCUGAUGAGGUGGUGGGAGGCCCACCACACACGCGCCAGUUCCUCUGACCCGCGCGCUUCCCGCACCUGGAGCCUACGCCCAGGGUCCCGCGGCCCGGCAGAGAGCGGCGCCUCCUCGCCUCGCCUCCGUCCCCGGGGAAGGGGCGGCCAGUCCGCACGGGCAGCAGCACAGGGGUCCCGCGGGCGCGAGGGCCGGGGGGCUGACCCCGAGGGCCGCCAAGGGUCAAGGACGUGCGGCUCGUCUCGCUCCUUCGCAGAAGCCUCCUCGGGGCCUGGGUGUCCCAGCAGGUGACACGUCCUGCCACGGGAGCCCCGCCGGAGCUCACCCGUGUCGGAGCCCCCUGACGUGGCCCCCAGGUCCCUGCAGGCUGCGGCCGCCGGAGACCUGCCGUGCACCGUCAGCCCGUUUCCCACGGAAGGGCCUAGAACGGCUCCGCGGCUGGCGCGGGGGACGGCAGCCGGAGCUCCCCGCUCACCCGGGCCCGGGCGCCCACCGCGGCCCCUGCGAGCCGAGGGCUGACCGCAGGGCUUCCGCGAAGCGGCCGAGCGCCCGGCGACCAGGGCCGAGGCGGAACUGGCGGACGGCGAAAUAAAUAUAAAACGGCGUGUUGGCAUCUUUUCCAAAAGCGACGGUCCCCGGCACAGGAGUCAACGGCGGCGGCGCGUCCAGCCGGCGGGGGCGGGGCUGCCCGGGGAGCGGCCGCGGGGCGGGGCGGG
rnacentral:lncRNA from 1 species